rnacentral:rRNA from 1 species
GAACGCUGGCGGCGUGCUUAACACAUGCAAGUCGUGCGCGAAAGUUUCCUUCGGGAAGCGAGUAGAGCGGCGCACGGGUGAGUAACACGUGGGUAAUCUACCUUUGAGUUUGGGAUAACCCGGGGAAACCCGGGCUAAUACCGGAUACGGCCUGACGAUCUCUGGAUCGACAGGAGAAAGAGGGCCAAUACUUGUAAGCUCUCGCUCUCUGAUGAGCCCGCGGCCCAUUAGCUUGUUGGUGAGGUAAAGGCUCACCAAGGCUCUGAUGGGUAGCUGAUCUGAGAGGAUGAUCAGCCACACUGGAACUGAGACACGGUCCAGACUCCUACGGGAGGCAGCAGUGGGGAAUUUUGGUCAAUGGGCGAAAGCCUGAACCAGCAACGCCGCGUGCAGGAUGAAGGCCCUCGGGUCGUAAACUGCUGUCAGAAGGGAAGAACGGCCACGUGGUUAAUACCCACGAGGCGUGACGGUACCUUCAAAGGAAGCACCGGCUAACUCCGUG